ACAUAUCCUUACGGUUUAAGCCCACAUGAAAUGUAAGGCUCGCCUUUAUAUUCAUAUGUAUUCAUAUCAAUCUCAAGCAGCGGUAAAAGCUAAUUCAUUAAUAUUUUAUUCAAUAAAAAAUAAAUUCUCCAAAACUAAUAAGAAAUAAAACAAAAUUUAAAAUAAUUUUUAUUUAAAGAUCACUAAGUAAAUAAUACCUAAAAUCCUAUGCUCCUCAC
rnacentral:lncRNA from 1 species